UCUGACUCGCUGAGGAUAUUCUGGUGUUUU
rnacentral:piRNA from 1 species